rnacentral:lncRNA from 1 species
CCAAAUUUGAAGUGAACCCUGGGAAGCAGAAAUGCUGUAGGUACAUAAUCGGUAUUCUGGGAAGUUCAUUAAGCCCACAGAAUGUCGAAAAAUUCAAUAGAUCGCUUUGUUGGUAAAGACUUGUACCUGACCGUUGUGCAUAAUUCUGUUGCAAAUGUCAAAACAAUCAAUAGCUCGUUUUGUUGGUGUAGACUCAUACCUGACCGUUAGUUUACUGUGUAUUUGGUGGAUUCAUGGUUCAAAUUUGUUUUCUUUGGUAUUCAGUUCAGUUAAUAUAACAAUGACAAAAUGAAGCAUGUGUAUAGUACUUCUCUCUUCAGGUCUCGUGUUGAAGCUUGG